AUGUGCUACAUGCAUUCUCUGAUAAAUGUGUUUCAAAUCUUGUCUGUUAUCGUGUUAUCAUACAUUCAUUUUAAUAUUUGUAUUUUUAUCACAUUCAUUUAUGUUAUCCUUAUAUAUCCAAUAUUCACUCUCAUGCAAACUUGAUGUAUUAAAUUUGUAUAUAUUGAAAAAAAAAUGUGAACUGAUAUUACAAAGACAGUUUGCUUGGCUGUGGAAU
rnacentral:misc_RNA from 1 species